rnacentral:lncRNA from 1 species
CUCAAAAGUCAAAAGUACCUCCUCAUGUGUAACAAUAGUAGCUGUAGCUCAUCUCUUAUAUGGCUUCAAAUGAUAAUUUUGAAACUCUGAACCAAAUGUUAUGGACUCUUGAUCAAGCCUCUUCUUCAAUCUCCUCCAAGUCCUCAACAUAUCAGACUGAAUGAGACCUCUAUAUAGUGUCUCAAAUGUAACUUUCUGAGGAAGAAACCCCUUUUCUAUCAUCUCAACAAAAUAUUGGCAAGCCUCCCUCCAUUUCUUGCUCUCACACAACCCAUGUAUCAAAACCGUAUACGAAUCUAAAUCCGGUCCAACCCCACUCUCCAUCAUAUCAUUCCAAAUCUCCUUAACAACACCAAUCAUAUCCGCCUUCAAAAACAUGGCAAUCAAAACCCCAUAGGUAUGUGUCGUCGGCUCACACAACCCAUCCUCCUUCAUCUUCUUAAAAAACUUCAAAGCCUUAUCUGCAUCCUUCCUCCCUCUAUACUCCUUAAAGAAACAAUUAUACGUCGCAGCACAAGGACUCACACCAUUCCUCACCAUCUCAUCAAUCAAAUCCUCCGCCUCUUCAAUCCUCCCACACGAACAAAGACACUUAAUCACCGACGUAUAAGUGACCACAUUCGGACAAAUCCCUUUCUCCUUCAUCAAACCCAACUUAUCCAAAACCAACUGCGGCUUAUGCGCCCUACUAUAAACAUGCAAAACAAUCGAAAAGCUAGUCACAUCCGGCUCAAUCCCACUCUCACGCAUUUCAUCAAACACCUUCUCUGCAUCCCUUAUAGUCCUCUCAAAUCUCUCCUCCGGAUGCAAACUUGCCUUUCGACAUAUCCCAUUCAAUAUCACAUUAUAAGUAACAACAUUUGGUUCAACUCCUUUCACCUUCAUCUCAUUCAAAAACGACAAUGCCGUCUUAAACCUUCCAAUCUUACACCAACCAUAUAUCAAAACAGUAUACAUUUUGACAUCAGCUACAAAUCUAUUAGAAUUUCUGUUAAACAACUCGCAAGCGUGUUUAACGUAACCAUACUUACAUAACGUGUCAAGCAAGUAAGUGAAAUGGUCUGAUGUUAAUUUAGUAUCUGUAUACGAUUCGAUUUCAUUGAAAGCGCGAACGGCUUGACGGGUUAAAUUAGCAGAGAUAAGUCUUUUAAUGAGGAUGAAAAAAGUGGUGGGUGUAGGAGGGAGGUUAAUUUGGUCCAUUUCAACAAUGAGUUGCGAAGCGAGGUCGAAUUGAUGAACUUUGGAGACAAUAUCAAUGAGGAGAUUGUAGGAUUGAAGAGAGAGAGGUGGGUUUGGGAGAGAUUUGGAGAAAUUGUGAAGGGAAAGAGCGAUUUUGGAGUGGUGUUUGAGGAGAGUUAGGGUUUGGGUUAAGAGAAUUGGGGUUAGGGUUAUGCCAUUGAGUUGAAGGGAAGAUUCUGUGAAGUGGUAAGGGUUGUGGUGUGUUAGGAGUAUUUUGGAGAUUAAUUCGGCGUCGUUUUGGGUUUGUGAAGAGAUUGAAGAGAAGAAGCGUGUGAUGGAGGAGUUGAAAUUGCGGUGUGAGGGUUUCAGAAGAAACGCCAUUUUUGAGUGAAUGAGACCUAAAGCAUGAGCAAGAAGAUGAAGUAUAAAAAAUAUGGACUGAAUAUGGACGAACGAAAGUCGUUUCAAAUUAUAGUGACUUACAUAGUUUAAGGAUUAAUUUGAUUUUUAAUGAAUAAUUCAGGGAUCGGUUUACCAAUUUGUAAUGAUUUUUGUUUCAUAAAAAAAAAA